ACUGGUGCAUCUUCAUCCGUAUAGAAUUCGGUAGGGGGGAUCGUAGCAACACCAAUUUCCUUCAAAAUCCAAUAACAAAGCUUGAAAUCCCUAGGUCGAUUGGCUAUUUCCUCUGGAAAUGGAUAGUCCUUAGGUAAUUUGAGUUUGGAGAAGUUCGCCAUCGUAUAAUAACUGCCAUCUGGUAUAGUGUAGGGAAUCUCUAAUUGAUCAAACGCCUUGGCUAGAAUCUCAAAACGCUUUUUGUACGAAGAUUUAUACUCUUCAUAGUAAUUAUGUUUCUCUGCUUCGCCAAAGGCUAUGGCCAAGGCCUCUUGACAAGGGCUAUUGACAGCAAAACAAAUACGAGUAUGAGCUGCGGCAGAAUAUUUGAUUAGGCUUUCAUCACCAAUAAGCCAACCAACACGCCAUCCCGUACAUCCAAACGUUUUUCCGCCAGAUCCAACUGUUACAACAUGUUUGAAAAGUUCAGGACGAAGAGUAGCAAGCCUGACGAACGGAACAAAGGAAAGACGGUCAUAGACUUCAUCAGACACGACUAAUAGAUUGUGCUUUAAUACCAAAUCGGCAAUUUCAUUCAAUUCUUCUUCCGAAAAGAUCUUGCCUAGAGGAUUGUGAGGUGUAUUAAUUACUAUCAUUUUCGUCUUUUCUGUAAUAGCAUUUCUUAACUUGUUCAUAUCCAGCUUCCAAGCACCUGCAGAUACCGGUUUCACCGAUCCUUCCUCAGGAGGUAUAAUAGGUACAUAGACAGGAACUCCACCGUUCAUGGUAAUAUUAGAUAUAUAUUGAUCAAAAAAUGGCUCCAUAACUAUAACUUCGUCUCCUGGGUUUAAAAAGGCCGCAAAAACACUAAAGAACCCUUCAUUUGCACCUGCCGUUACUACAAUUUCAGUGUCUGGAUUUAAAGUACGUUUGAAAUAGGGAGAAUACGCUUCUGAUAACGCUUUUCGUAAGCUUGGCCUUCCGCGAGUGUGUGAGUAUUGAUUGCAAGCAACCUCGUCGAUAGACUUCUUGGCAGCAUCCAAAACAAACUUUGGUGGAUUAUAAUUGAAAAAUCCUUGACUAAGUGAUACAGGAGGAACUUUACAUUCAGCUGUUGCUUGAUUCACUAGGGUCCAUACAUCAGGACGGCUUGCAGCGACUUUGUUAGAAGGCCGUAUACCUCUGAAGGCCAUUCCUAAAAACUUGCUAUUUCUGAACAGUUUGAAAAAAAUUAAAAAAAUCACUGCCUAAUAUGGCAGAUCUAAUACACCGGGGUGAUUGUACAAAAGUGAUUUGUAUAGUUUGGUAGGUUAUCUUAAAUAUUUAGACGCGGAUCCUCUUAAGCAGCGAUUACAAAGUAGAUGGUGAGCAAUAAGCACGUAAUAUUACUGGCCAG